rnacentral:lncRNA from 1 species
CAUGAAACAUAGAAAAAAUAAUAUUUUUCAUUUAAUUAAAAUUUAACAUAGGAUAUAGCAACACUUUUGUGCACUCAUGCUCCUGCAUUUCAUUUAUGUGCUGAGUGGUUUUACUAAAGUUCAAAAGUAUUUUAAAGUGAUUUUAAAAUGGAUUUGAAAAUGACUUUGGAAUGAAAGAAAAGAAAAUAGAAAAAAAAAGACAAAACCCCUUCACCCUCUAGUCUGGCCCGAAGGCCCACUCCACCUUCCACCCUCGGCCCGAUACGCAGCAGGCCAGCCCAAGCCGCGCCUCCCCCUUCCCUUCUUUCCACUGCCAGCUGGGCCCCACCCGUCAGUCACCUCCCUCUUCUUCUUCCUUGGGCGUGAGCGAGCCGGACUCCUGUCCAGGCCAAAUCAGCGCCCCAAUCCCGUUUUCUCUGGGAUUUUUCCUGCCUAACGUGCUCUACCGAAUCAUAUAGAAGCUUUUAACCACCCAGCGUCCUUUUCUCAUCUAUCCAUCACCGAAAGCCGCCUCUGGAGCCGAUUUUGGAUCUCGCCGAAAAGCACAGGAGCAAGCCGCCGCCGUGGAGCGCCCUAACCGCGUCGUGCCGUCGAAAUUCGAGCCCUUGCCGAGUACUGCAUCGAGAUGAAGACGCUACCGAGCCCCUCUCUAUCCUUUCUCUCGGUCUCUGUGACUCACACCGCCUCGCCGAUGUUGCAGGAAGUCCGCCGCCCGCAGUUGCACGUGGCCGACCAUCUCCUAGCCCUUCCCGUCUUCGAUUGGUGCUCCGGGUGAGUUCGCGGUACUCUCCUCUUGCUUCCCGUGCAAUCGGUUUUUUCAAAUCGUGCCCAGAAUCGCUUUAACCACGAACUCCGGCGAGGUGUGCCCAACUCCGGCCAUGGCACCACCGCGGCUGCCACUGUUCCGGCCGGCAGCUGCCUCUCCUCUCUCCCAGCUCUAAUCUGGUCCAUCCAGAGAAGAUCCAAUGGCUGCAGUUAGAAGAUACCCCUUCGGGGUAGGUUUUGUUAAAGAACCCCUGGCCUUUUUAAUAUAGAACCCGCAGUCCGAAAACGUCUUCCAGGAAUACGCUUUUCAAUUUCUAAAGCGUAAACCGAUCGGCUUAGGUCCAAAAUAGGUCCAAAAUACGCUUUCACUAUUUACAGUUUUGCCACCAGAUUUCAAUUGCUUAUAACAUGCUCAUUUUAACUCCGAUUUGACCCAUUCAAAUUGCGUUAGGUUCAUAAUCAUGAUCUCUACAUGUUAGUAAAAUUAUUUACUCAGUUUGAAACUUUCUAAUUUCAUGAUCCUAUUUAAUUAAUUAUUUAUCUAUAGGAAAUCUUAGAAAAUUCAUAUCUCCUCCGUUUUAAUUCCGAUUUUCGUGAUCUUUACGUCUGUAAAAUCGUAGCGAUGCGUAGAAUUGUUUUACAAACUUUUCAUACUGUUUUCAUAUGAUUGGUGUACUGUUUUAAUUGUAGCCUUGUUUGUUUCAUGUAUGCUUUCUUCGAUUGUUUGUGUGAUCGAUGAUCGAGUUUAGACGGAGAGCAGUUUCGGUGAUCAAGAUCAAAGCUUUGGGCAACAAGUGAGACCAGCAGGACCAAAAGGAUAAGCAAGAGCAUUUGGAUUAAGGCAAGUAUAGCAUUUGGAUUUUAUUUCUGUGACCGUGAUCCUGUGACUGGAUUAAUGUUAAGUAAUAAAUGAUAAAAAUGACUUUUUAGCCACUUGAUGAUUUAUCUGUACGUGAUCACCCGGGACAACAAUGCAACCAUGAGGGCUAUAAUGGCUCUGGCUUUAGCUCAGUAUGAAGACCUUUUCUAGCUUAUUAGAGGUUACCCGAAAGGGCGGAGGGGCUGAACCGUUUUGGGUAUAGUGUGGCCUCUAUCUGUAUGUGUAUAGGCUGCGCGUCAUUGUGCCAUCGGAAGGGGGGCUCUAUAUCUGCGCGCAAAGGAAACCUUGCGGCCCUAACAUGUUAGACGAACUUUUGAAAGGCUUCAUAGUGAUCCCUGCCGACCUUCCUUGGAAGUGGGUUAAGAGGCUGAUCACCUCGGGCGAAAGGGUAAAUCAUGACUCAUGGGUAAAGAUGUGCAACCUCUGCAGAGGGUUAAAAACUAGUAUACUAGCCGAGCUCACGGUCAGGAGCGGCCUUGGGGACAUCUACAUUAAGGGUGAUGAUUCUUGUGUGUUAAAUAUACUCAUUGUUUAUUGUUUAAUGCUUUACAUUACUUAUGUCACAUUGAUCAUGAGGUUGUGGGAGCUAUACAAUCUAGUUGCUAUACUUGUGGAGUUCGACAUGGACUCACUCUUGCUAUUUCCCCCAAACUUCAGGAGGAGUUUAGGUUUGUGAUCAACCAGUCAGUUGGAUCCUGUGGAGUGAAGUUAAUACCCGAAGUUUGGAGUUGUCUGUCCGCUGUUUGAUAUCAAAGGUUAUAUCUUUUAUACUAAGUACGUUAUAUAUUUAUGCAUUGUCUUUUGAUAUUACCCCUUAUUUGUAGCUAUAUGUGAGAUUUGACUUCUAAGACUCACAUAUGGUGUAUAUCUGGUUUUAUCCUUAAAAUCGGGUAUUACAAAGUGGUAUCAAAGCAAUGCUGACUGUAGGACGCAAGCCUAGUUAGAAAUUUGUCGUCUUAAGGUUUUGGAAUUGUCAUAAAAUCCUUGCUCUAUAAACCUUGGUAUUUUCAUCCAUAUUAUAUCUCUAUCCUUGCUAUUUGUCUCCACCUUGUUGCUUAUUUUAAAGACUUGUUCUCAUCCCCACUCCUUGCUUGAUAUGCUUUUAGAACUUUUUCUUACCACCUUCUGGCAUCGUUGGAAUAGGUGUUUUAAGAUAUCUACCCUUACUAUGAAGAGAACGAUAGUAUCGCAAAUUGAGUGAAGUGUGCUUAGUUGGUUUGUUAUUAUGCUUAUGCUUGAUUUGGAUCUUUGUAAUGAUUGCAAUGAUCUUGUGGGAUUUCUCCACAAUUUCAUUAGUUUAUAGACCUAAGGCAUAAGGAUUAAUGAAAUAAGUAGUUGGGUUUGGCUAUCUUUUGUUCCUAUCCCUUGCUGAUUUCUGGAGCAGUCUGCGAUGAUUCUGGUGUACCUCAAGUUUUGAUCGUGCAAAGUAUAUCAACUUUUUCUGGGAAUAACUAGACUUCAAGAUCUUUCUCUGACCGUAAGAAUCACCCCCAUAUCUAUUUUGGAAUUGGAGUUAUGAAAAUCACAAGUUGAUGCAGCUGCGCUGUCAAGAAUCUGUACCAGUUUCGGUUGCUUACUGUUUUAGACAUAUAUAACUAUAGAAUUUGGAAAAGUAUUCUAUAGAAAAUUUGUAGACAAUUUUCUACUCUUUCCAACGGUAUAAGCUGGAACUUAUUUGGAUAAGUAGAACUUGAGAUUAUGAUAUUUAUACUCGGAUGUUUCUGUUCUGUUUCAAGGUCUGGACAGAUCUGGCAUUUACUAUUUUCAGCCAAGUUAAAGACAGAAUCUGGGAAAGUGUUGUAUACGAAAGAUGUAGAGGAUUUCAUAAGCUUUCCAACAAUAUAAGGAUCGUCUCCGGAUGAGUUAAGUAGCUGGAGAUAUAAUUUCUGGAAGUUACUGCACCUUUGCUGAGACAUUACCAGGAAGGAUAUUAUGUUUGGUUGUUUUACCUAAGCUUAAAUACAGAAUCUAAGGAGGUCUUCUACAUGAAAGUGGUAGAGAAUUUCACAAGUUUUCUAACGGUAUAAGCUAUAACUCUGUUGGAUUAACAGAAUAAGAGUUAUAUGUGUUUUACUAUGUGGGAGUUUUCAUAUCAUGGGAAAAAUUCAGGAUACUUGUUUGUUCUCCCCUUACACCUAAGUUCUUUGGGACGUUAGAGGUUCUCAAUGUUAGUUAACCUGCCUGGAAAACAUGCAAGCUAUCUUUCCUGUGCCCCCUAGGUGACUUUUAUAAAGGGGUUACAUGGAGAAGAAUUGGAUAAUGUUGGAUCAAGAGACUCAGUACGGCAAAUUUAAAAGACUAUAUGAUGUGUAGCAUUUAAAAAGGUUAUGAGGACUAGUCCCUAAUGUCUCCCCAAUCAAUCUAAUUUUAAGGGGGGUAGUACCUUGAUAUCACGGGUGAUGCAUUUUAAGACUAGCUUGAAGUAAUAAUUGUCUUCUAAGAUAUUCUAUGGUUAUGAUCAUCUAUCCUUGCCGUGUUACUGACGUUGGUCACUUGAUGACAGGGAGUGUAGUGUCCCAUGGAUUCGGAGCACAAUAUGACACCUCUCAUGGAUAGGUGGGAAGAUUAUGAUCAUCUUGCCUUUGAAGAAAGAUGCUAUGAGUAUGACAAAGCUGAGUGUUAUCAAAAUAAUAUUGAGGAGCAAGUUGACAAUGAAUCAAAUCAAAAUCCACAACGACGGAAGCGUAAAAGGAAAGCUCGUAAGAAGCCUGCUCUCGGAAAUAAAGUACAGCGAAAUUAUAUCAAUGGAAGACUGAACAAUGUGGAUAUGCAUAACAUUCAAGGAGCCACCAAAGUGGUGGGAGGCUACAUUCAAGUGGACUCAGUGCUAGUUUUUGCUCUGUUUGACCGAAGUGCUUCACAUUCUUUUAUUUCCGCUGACUUGGUAAAGACAAUCGAACGGGUGAAGUGUCUGACGAGAAAGCCUUUGUUAGUUCAAACCCCAACGGGAGAAAUACAGGCAGACCAGGUUUGCUCAAAUAUCAAUCUUGUCAUAAAGAAGGAAAACUUCGCUGUAAACCUCAUUGUGCUAGAGUCACUCAAUAUUCCUUUGGUUCUUGGCAAUGGAUGGCUAUGUGCACACAAGGCAGUGAUCUAUGCUACCCAGUGGAAAAUUUUCUUAACUGCACCAUCAGGGAAAAGAAUUGAGUAUCAAGGUGGUCCACUCCUACCUGAGGAGGCAUAUCCAUGUCAAGGUAUCACGUCUUUGAGUUGCAUAAGCUGAAAAGUUGGUAGUCAAGAUGGACAGUGAGCAAUUACGAAUAAUAGACACUCUCUGGAAAAUUUGAGUUUAUCUUUGGUAUGCAAGUUGUAAAAGUCGAAAGAGUUAUCAAGAUCUUUAUUAUGUCUUCUCUAAGCGGAUCUGUGUCACUCUCGAAUCUCAAGGACGAGAUUCAUUUUAAGGGGGGUAGAUUUGUAACACCCUAAAAUUUGUCUUUUCGAAAUAAAGCUAAAUUAAUUCAAUUUUUGUAUGGUUGUGCUCAUGGAACAUAGGAAAAAUAAUAUUUUUCAUUUAAUUAAAAUUUAACAUAGGAUAUAGCAACACUUUUGUGCACUCAUGCUCCUGCAUUUCAUUUAUGUGCUGAGUGGUUUUACUAAAGUUCAAAAGUAUUUCAAAGUGAUUUUAAAAUGGAUUUGAAAAUGACUUUGGAAUGAAAGAAAAGAAAAUAGAAAAACAAAGACAAAACCCCUUCACCCUCUAGUCUGGCCCAAAGGCCCACUCCACCUUCCACCCUCGGCCCGAUACGCAGCAGGCCAGCCCAAGCCGCGCCUCCCCCUUCCCUUCUUUCCACUGCCAGCUGGGCCCCACCCGUCAGUCACCUCCCUCUUCUUCUUCCUUGGGCGUGAGCGAGCCGGACUCCUGUCCAGGCCAAAUCAGCGCCCCAAUCCCGUUUUCUCUGGGAUUUUUCCUGCCUAACGCGCUCUACCGAAUCAUAUAGAAGCUUUUAACCACCCAGCGUCCUUUUCUCAUCUAUCCAUCACCGAAAGCCGCCUCUGGAGCCGAUUUUGGAUCUCGCCGAAAAGCACAGGAGCAAGCCGCCGCCGUGGAGCGCCCUAACCGCGUCGUGCCGUCGAAAUUCGAGCCCUUGCCGAGUACUGCAUCG